UGGGGAAUAUUGCACAAUGGGCGCAAGCCUGAUGCAGCCAUGCCGCGUGUGUGAAGAAGGCCUUCGGGUUGUAAAGCACUUUCAGCGAGGAGGAAGGUGGUGAGCUUAAUACGCUCAUCAAUUGACGUUACUCGCAGAAGAAGCACCGGCUAACUCCGUGCCAGCAGCCGCGGUAAUACGGAGGGUGCAAGCGUUAAUCGGAAUUACUGGGCGUAAAGCGCACGCAGGCGGUUUGUUAAGUCAGAUGUGAAAUCCCCGGGCUCAACCUGGGAACUGCAUUUGAAACUGGCAAGCUAGAGUCUCGUAGAGGGGGGUAGAAUUCCAGGUGUAGCGGUGAAAUGCGUAGAGAUCUGGAGGAAUACCGGUGGCGAAGGCGGCCCCCUGGACGAAGACUGACGCUCAGGUGCGAAAGCGUGGGGCAGCAAACAGGAUUAGAUACCCUGGUAGUCCACGCUGUAAACGAUGUCGAUUUUGGAGGUUGUGCCCCUUGAGGCGUGGNUUCCGGAGCUAACG
rnacentral:rRNA from 1 species